rnacentral:misc_RNA from 1 species
UGCUCCUGAGGCGACCAACGCUGCGCUGAAUAGCAUAGAGAGCCCAUCUGACCGCACUACACGGUGGCGCCUACGUGCAUGUCACAUCCAUCGAGGUGGUGCUGUAGUGUCUGUGAGCAGCGAAGAGCCACUCUCCUCCCCGCUGCGCUGUGUGCGGUGCUUCGUGACGUCUGCCAAAGGCGCAGAAAAAAAAAACAAAAUCCGGGCGCCGCUGCGCAGACGUACACUUGCAUACGCCUCCACACGUGAUCAUCUGCCGAUAAGUGAGGGCAGUAUCACGAGCAGCUGCGGACUGCGCUUGCCAUGCAAGGCAAGCGCUUCGCAACGCCAACGGGGAGGCCCGGGAUGCGUCAAGGAGGCUACACGCAGCUGCACGCCGUGUCUUCCUCCACCUCGCCCGGGCGGUGGGCGACAGCGAAGCACUGCGCCCUCAGUGCUUCGCAGAAAGAGCGGUACGCAUCCCAGGCACGUUCGCGUCCGCGCCCGACUGAAGCGCACGCACUCUCAUCCUCAACACCGGAGCGACGGCUUCAGGCGGUGCAGAGAAGCAGCACACAGAGCAGCAUGCCAAGUACCUCGGUGCAUCACAUGCUCAAUGAGUUAGUCGACCUUAGCCACAGCAUUGCUGCUCUACUGGAACAGGGGCAAGUGUUAUCGCUCACCGCCGCCCCUAGUGCAGCGGACCGGCAACAGGAGGCGAGUCUCAAGACGCAGGAAAUCGAACGCAUUGUGCGCAGGGUGGAGGCGCACUUCGUCGAUCGCAUUCAGUCGCUGGAAACGUUAAAUGCCUCCUUGUCGGAGGAGGUCCGGCAGCUGCGUGGGGCGCUUGCGACGCAGCGCACCAACGGUGCUGCAGGUCGGGCGAACGCACUGCACGACAUACGCGGUAGUGAACUGCAAGAAGAUUCGAAGAUGUUGGAUGCUUGGGAAAAGGCGUCGUGGGGCGAGACCGGCAACGGUGCUGCCGCCAGCGAAGUCGAGCACCUGCGGCGCGUACUGGUGGCGGAAAAGCGCCAGCGUUUGCGUGUUGAGGAGCAGACGCAGUCGCUGACGGAGCAGCAUGCGAAGGUGGUGGGGACGCUGGAGCGGCGACUCAAAAAACAAGAGGAGCAGCUCUACGAUCUCAUCGCUGCCAUCGACAGGGGCUACGGGGGCGGGUCAGCCACGACGUCUGCUUCUCCAACACGCUGCACCGAGCGCGGCUCCUCUCAUAGGCUUCCCACGCCACGCCACCUCCUCCGCCAGCAGCUUGCGCAACACCAGCAGACGCAGCGGGCACUGCAGCAGUACAAGGAGAACCUCCUCCUUGAGCCUACGUCUCCGGUGGGGAGCGACGCGGUGGCGGCCACCAUGAAGGAGCUUGGGUUGGAUGACGUGCGGCGCACUCUAGAGUUGAUUAGGUCAAGCAAACCCCUCUCCGUGCAGGAGCACCAUCAUGACCAAGAGGAAACCCAUGCAACGCCGGCUGUUUGUUUACCACCACAUGCUGUCCGCGAUGGGCCGGCGGUAGUGCACUCGCCUAGAGUCUGUUCACGGGUGCCGCCACCUGCUGAUCGAGCAGCUUGCACCUCAGCGAACGAAGUGGACGAAAUCACGGCGUUCCUCGAGAACAUUACGAAGGAGCUGGAGAGCCUUGACUCUCAGUAGCUCAGCGACGGCACUGUAUACGUUCCCCCCUGCUUAGGGGCUGCUCUUCUAAUGCUCGUUCUUCUCGAGCUCUCCUGCCCUUCAUCUUGCGCCGCACAUACCACCGAUGGCCUGUGGUUUUGCGGCGAGCAGCAGCUGUGCUGCGUCUGUAUUGCGGUGAGUGCUAUUUGUGCGUGUGGGGAGGAGUGGGGGGGGGUGGACCGCGUUUCCUACCCGGACGGACGUCGGUUGAAACUCGCUUCGCGGUCCCCCUUCUCACCCCCUCACCGCUUCGCCGCCACUCCACUUCUCAAAGAAAGUGAAGGAGAGAAGCAGCCUCAUUCCGUUGCUGCGCACCACGGCGUAUUUGUGGCAGCUUCAACAGACGCGCGCUGACGCAUCGACAUGGACGUUGUUUUUGGAGCUUGUUUUCUUUCCACACCAUGGACGGGAGUAGUUAGCUCGAUCAGGAAGACGGCAUGCCGCUGCAGCCAUCUCGUUCCCCUCGUCCCU